GAUGAACGCUAGCUACAGGCUUAACACAUGCAAGUCGAGGGGAAAUGAUAGAGAAAGCUUGCUUUUUCUAGGCGUCGACCGGCGCACGGGUGAGUAACGCGUAUCCAACCUGCCCACCACUUGGGGAUAACCUUGCGAAAGUAAGACUAAUACCCAAUGAUAUCUCAAGAAGACAUCUGAAUGAGAUUAAAGAUUUAUCGGCGAUGGAUGGGGAUGCGUAUGAUUAGCUUGUUGGCGGGGUAACGGCCCACCAAGGCGACGAUCAGUAGGGGGCCUGAGAGGAAGGUCACCCACAUUGGAACUGAGACACGGUCCAAACUCCUACGGGAGGCAGCAGUGAGGAAUAUUGGUCAAUGGGCGAGAGCCUGAACCAGCCAAGUAGCGUGCAGGAUGACGGCCCUAUGGGUUGUAAACUGCUUUUAUAAGGGAAUAAAGUGAGUCUCGUGAGGCUUUUUGCAUGUACCUUAUGAAUAAGGACCGGCUGAUUCCGUGCCAGCCGCCGCAGUAA
rnacentral:rRNA from 1 species